CGCAGGGUAGAGCAGUCUGGUAGCUCAUCUGGCUCAUAACCAGAAGGUCACAGGUUCAAAUCCUGUUCCUGCAACCA
rnacentral:tRNA from 1 species